CGGAGGGAUCAUUACAGAGUUUUCUAAACUCCCAACCCUAUGUGAACUUACCUUUGUUGCUUCGGCGGCGGAGGCUACCCUGCGGGGGAUUACCACCUAGUGGUUACCCUGCAGUCUCAGGUACAUCUGUUACCCGGUAGUCAUCCCCGCCGGCGGCCAACUAAACUCUGUUUUCUUUGGAAUUCUGAAUCAUAAACUUAAUAAGUUAAAACUUUCAACAACGGAUCUCUUGGUUCUGGCAUCGAUGAAGAACGCAGCGAAAUGCGAUAAGUAAUGUGAAUUGCAGAAUUCAGUGAAUCAUCGAAUCUUUGAACGCACAUUGCGCCCAUUAGCAUUCUAGUGGGCAUGCCUGUUCGAGCGUCAUUUCACCACUUAAGCCCUGUUGCUUAGCGUUGGGAGCCUACGGCAUAGCCCGUAGCUCCUUAAAGUGAUUGGCGGAGUUGGUUCUCACUCUAAGCGUAGUAACUAUAUCUCGCUUCUGUAGUAGUUCCGGCCCCUGCCGUAAAACCCCUUAUACAAAGGUUGACCUCGGAUCAGGUAGGAAUACCCGCUGAACUUAAGCAUAUCAAUAAGCGGAGGAAAAGAAACCAACAGGGAUUGCCCUAGUAACGGCGAGUGAAGCGGCAACAGCUCAAAUUUGAAAUCUGG
rnacentral:rRNA from 1 species